CCUUAUAGCCAUGGAACACUUGACAUUGAUUCCAUUUACACUUGCAGAAGCAAAAACGAACAUAUUUGCAACAAGUAUUUUUGGUGACCAUGAAACCAAAAAUUGUUUAUUUUUUAAAGCACCUAUAUUUAGAAGACAUCUAGCGGAGGAAUUGCUUGUUACUGAGUACUCUACUGAACUGUCAAUUUGUUCGUUGUCAAAGGGCUACAUCGAGUUUGGUUGCCAUAAUAAUGGUUGCCUCGCGAAUUGGAAAUGUUUUGCCGAAUCCCAGUAUAUCGCCAAGUGUGCCAUAUUUUCACAAUCAUUUUUCUCCUUAGGAUGGUUACCAAUGUGCAGUUGAAUUCUAAAAGGUUUUGUUUGAUAUGCUAUAUUUAAAGAACUGAUGUUGGCACCAGCUUGAUGGAAAAAAGUCAUUUUCAACGUGGGCACAGGGGAACUUGGAUUUAUUUGGUGAUCAAGAGUCAGAUGGUUUUCCUGUAGUUGCAGUUUGAAAUAACCUUUCAAAGCCUAAACUCAUCUUCGUAGAAAGGGACUUGUGACGAGUAACACUGGCUCUGUAAAUGUUCUUGGUUUGGGGCAAGACGUUGAAUAAACUGUGACUAUUGGAUGGAAGACAUGG